rnacentral:lncRNA from 10 species
GUGACCCUGGAGGAAAGAAGAGAGGGUCAAAAUGGAAAAAGUGGCCAAAGGAGGUGACAGACAUUAAGACAAGUGACUUAAUGACAAUGAUCAAGUGGAGAAGACAACACUGAUGAUACAGGAGAUGAAGGGUAAUACCACAGGUAAGCCUUCGAAGGGGCCAGAGGCCAUGCAAUUCAGGGCUGCAAUGUUUGUCUAAUACAGAUGCAGGAGGAGGCUUCUACUGUAAGGAGGGAGAAAGUAAAGUAUG